rnacentral:tRNA from 1 species
GCGGGCGUAGUUUAGUGGUAAAACUCCUGCCUUCCAAGCAGGUCUCGUCGGUUCGAUUCCGUCCGCCCGCUCCA